rnacentral:RNase_P_RNA from 1 species
GGAGUCGGCCAGGCAGUCGCGUCAUCCUUCGGGAUGCCGAGGAAAGUCCGGGCUCCACAGGGCACGGUGCCAGGUAACGCCUGGGCGGCGCGAGCCGACGGAAAGUGCAACAGAGAGCAGACCGCCGAACGGCGUCGCAAGACGUGCGUGGCAAGGGUGAAACGGUGCGGUAAGAGCGCACCGCGAGUCUGGCAACAGACCGGCACGGCAAACCCCACCGGGAGCAAGACCAAAUAGGGAGGCAAUGCCGCGGCCCGCGGUGCCUCCGGGUAGGUUGCUUGAGCGUAUCGGUGACGAUGCGCCUAGAGGAAUGAUUGCCCACGACAGAACCCGGCUUAUCGGCCGGCUCCGCCC